GAUGAAGAACGCAGCGAAAUGCGAUAAGUAAUGUGAAUUGCAGAAUUCAGUGAAUCGUCGAAUAUUUGAACGCACAUUGCGCCCCUUGGUAUUCCGAGGGGCAUGCCUGUUCGAGCGUCAUUAUAACCCCUCAAGCUCAGCUUGGUGUUGGGGCCUGCUGCACUGGCAGCCCUUAAAAUCAGUGGCGGCGCCAUCUGGCUCUAAGCGUAGUAAUUCUUCUCGCUAUGGAGUCCUGGUGGAUGCUUGCCAUCAACCCCCAAUUUUUCUAUGGUUGACCUCGGAUCAGGUAGGGAUACCCGCUGAACUUAAGCAUAUCAAUAAGCGGAGGA
rnacentral:misc_RNA from 1 species